CCAGCUCUCACGCCAAUGCAACACUGAUGCAUCAUGGUGCUUGUGUGAAUGUGUUAUUUUAUAUAAAGAAAAUAAUCUCAGAUUUCAUUAAAAAGUUCCGCAUUUAUGUUUCAAGGAUGAACAAAAGUCUGGUUUGGAACAACAUAAAGGUGAGUGAGGAAAAUCUUUGGUUAAACUAACACAUUAGGUAAAUGGGGUUCCCACAGGGGCACCAGUAGAUCUCUGCCUGAUCUCUGAUCUUCUGCUUCUUCUGCUCCUUCCUCCAUCCCAAUUCUGGAUUAAUGAGCCACGGCAGAUGUUUCCACUUUGAAUGCUUUAGCCUCGCUCUUUUUUCUGCAGCAUCUAAAGUGAGAAAGAAAACCGUAACUAAAAUGUAAAUUAAUAAUAAAAAAACAAUGUUUGUCCAAAA